rnacentral:rRNA from 1 species
AGAGUUUGAUCCUGGCUCAGGACGAACGCUGGCGGCGUGCUUAACACAUGCAAGUCGAACGAUGAAGCCUUUCGGGGUGGAUUAGUGGCGAACGGGUGAGUAACACGUGGGCAAUCUGCCCUUCACUCUGGGACAAGCCCUGGAAACGGGGUCUAAUACCGGAUAACACUUUGUCCCGCAUGGGAGGGGGUUAAAAGCUCCGGCGGUGAAGGAUGAGCCCGCGGCCUAUCAGCUUGUUGGUGGGGUAAUGGCCUACCAAGGCGACGACGGGUAGCCGGCCUGAGAGGGCGACCGGCCACACUGGGACUGAGACACGGCCCAGACUCCUACGGGAGGCAGCAGUGGGGAAUAUUGCACAAUGGGCGAAAGCCUGAUGCAGCGACGCCGCGUGAGGGAUGACGGCCUUCGGGUUGUAAACCUCUUCAGCAGGGAAGAAGCGAAAGUGAC